UUAUCCCGAGUAGGACGAAUGGCAGUAC
rnacentral:sRNA from 1 species